GUGAGAUCAAGCUCUGUGUCAGGCUCUAACACGGGGUGUGGAGGUGGAGCCUCCUUAUGAUUUUCUCUCUCCCUCUGCCCCACCUCUCAAAAAAAAAAAAAAAUCUAAGUAAGAGGUGUGCUGUGUGUGUGUGUUCGGGAGAAGAGGAAGGUUAGAUAGUUCCAGUCUUCAGUCCCUCAGUUUCCAAGCUGUGUACAGGAGAUAGUUUCUAUUCUCACUCUUCUUUCUUGAACUUACUGCAUUGUUCAUGUUGAUGUUGAAUACUCCUCUGUUUUAUUUUAAAUAUUUCCUCCUAGCCAGACUGCAACAGGAUAUAAACCUGAGGAUGUUAUUUGUGUGGGAUUCUACAACUUCAUCACUGGAUCAAGUGGACAUACAAGGACCUGCACAUUUGAUCCUCGCUCCUCCCCAAACCCCCCACACAUGGAUUCAUCAUCCUCAUUUUUGUGCUACCGACCUUUGCACAUGCCACUUCCUUUGCCUGGAAAGGAUUUUCUGAUUCUGGUUGCUUGGCAAAGCCCAGUCCUCCUUCAAGAACCAACUCCAAGGUCACCUCCUCUCUGAAGCAUCCCCUGAAAGAGGAUUGGCUCUGUCAUCUCUACACUCAUUCACCCACACGUGCUUAUUGAGUGCUGUCCCUGCCCUUCAGCCAAGACCACCAGGGACAUGCCAGCAGUGAAACAAGGUGGGUCAUUGUCAGAGGGAAACAUACUCCAUGGGGCAUCUCCAUAACAGAACGUUAUGGAGAACGUAUUAUAAGAUUUGGGCUUUGCUUGGUUGAUUUGGGGAGGGCCUAAGAAAUCAAGAAUCUGCUCUAGAUGGGAAACCGCCAGAGAGCAAGGACAAUUCUAUGAUUGGAUUUUAUGGGGGGACCUUGAUUUUGUCUUUGCAUAGACAAACUUAUGCAGUGAGCUUGUUUUGUUGCAUUUUAUCAUAGUUCAGAGUAAGUUUAUCUGAGAUUGGUGUCCUUAAAGACUGUUUCUGCGCAGCAGGAGAACAAAAUGGCCUGGUUAUGAGCGUCAGACCAGCUUGUGUUACUAUUAGGGUCCAGCUGUGAUUAUUUGUGGGUGUUGGGGGCUGUGUUCUUUUUUCUUAGCACCUACAGUACAGCCUUUGUUGGAUCAAGAUAUUGUCUGUGUGUCUUUUAUAUCACUCAGGAUGUUGUAUUGUGUAGUAGACAGUGCUGGUGGUAUUCCUUAGGAUCCAUUCAAACCCUCCCCCACAGCGGGGCAGACUUUAGUGAGGACUCUUGAUUUGUCAAGAGUACCCCAGUGACUGGUUAUGAGAUGGGCACUGGAGCUGGUAUUCCCUGGAAAUAGACACUGAGAUUUGGAUGCAGAAGAGUUAGUGGGGAAGGGGCACAGGCAGCAUGUAACAGAGAGAGGGAAAUCCAGUGGAGCAGUGGGAGAGGUUCACCUGUUGUAUGUUUGCAACAAAGGCUGCCUCUGAUCCUCUAGGGGCGCUCUGGAUCUGGGAUGUCCCUUCUGAGAGGUCUGAGAGGUCUGAAUUGAGGCAGGGCCAGGCUCUUGUACCCACUCACUGACCAGCCAUUAGAGGCAGUUUCUUCCCAAAAGGGGCAGACAGCUCCUUUCGGCUAGGGCAAUGCCUGCAGAAGAACUUACUUAUGAACCAUCACCAGUGAUCACUCCUAGCAGUACGGGAUGACAGCGUCCAUCCUGAAAGGGAAAUCUGGUUGGUGUAGCC
rnacentral:lncRNA from 1 species